CUGCUGAGGAGUCCCAUAAUAGGACGAAACGGCCGUCAAUCAG
rfam:Schistosoma mansoni, Puerto Rico, WGS project CABG01000000 data, contig: 0077